rnacentral:rRNA from 1 species
GAUCGCUCCUUGUCGGUCGUCAUCUUAGCGUAGAAAGUGACAGGCUCAAGUGGGGCGAGACACUGACACUCGAAGGAAGGUGUUCGCGCAGUAGGGGUAGGACGGAUGUGUGGGGUAUAUUUCUUUGGAAAACAUGGUUCGGGAUCAGACUCAGAGUGUGCCAAGGUGGGUGGCGGAGGGGUUAGUAGGGGAGGCUAAAGGAGCAGACGGGUUAGACGUCGACGACGGCGACGGCGACUAGGAAGGCGUCGAACCCUAAGCAGCCUAACCGGAGGAAAAAGGUAAAGUCCGUUAAUCUGAGCGUCUCUACCUGUGAUGACGACCGAUUAUCAUUUUGCUAAUAUACCGGUUUCUAUAAUUCCGUUACGCGUUCCCUCCUUUGCCAAAGAUGAAGUAGUUAUUCCUCUGUUCACGACUAAGUUAGUCCCUUUUGUUAAGGUUUUUAAGAGUAGCCUACCGGCUAUGUCGUUCUUAUUGAUUUUGUCUCUGUAGUUUCAACUUCUUGUAGUAAAGUCGUAGUAAGUUUGGGAACAGAGAAUGGUAAGGGUAUCCUCUGCCUAAGGUGCUUAGCAAGGUAAGCUCGGUAACGAUAAAUAUCAUAGAUGAUUCCAAGUAUUCAUUCGGUUUCCAAAAGUCAUGAUAACCGAUUCUUCCCCUCCGUUUGUAACUCACGUUACCAAUGUUAGCAACCAUGUGCCCUUGUCAAACAAGUUGGUGUCAGUAAGGAGGCACGAUGUUACGACGAGUUCAGGGGUUGUUCCGUUGAAAGGAAGACGAAACGCGGUGUUCCCCUAACGCUAGUUAUGACACGAAAUUAGGGACCGAACGGUCUUCUGGACCGUUUCUAUACAGAACGGGAACAAGGAGCUUGAGUAAAGGGACAGUACCCACCUCAUAGGUUCUCCACCUACAGUAAGGAUCUCUCGUUUCUUAAUUAACGACAUUCCUUUCUCCAAGCCUUCGAACUGCUCACACACAUGCAGGACUGGCGACUAAGAGCUCGUUUCUGAAGAGUAACCCUCUAAAACCCUACAGUCCCCGUUUUCUUGUGGGGAGAAGGCGGAUACGGACCUGGUUGGUUUCGACCCAAACCACACCAACAGGAACUACCCUUCGAGUAGCAGUAACGACCGAUACGACGACUGGUACCGUUCCUUACACAAAGACUACUCCAAAUGGUCAUACUAACAAAGGAGUUGUCCACCUGGCGGGAAAGAUUCUACUUACAGCGAGCAACGCUGAAGCGCACACGUCUCCAGUUGCCACACUAUAUACAGUGACCACCUAAACCAGGGUCACCACUAUCAAAUAGUUCACAGCUUCAAAUACUGGGUCUUGUUUUAUUUACCUGCAACUAGCCCCCGGAAGCGUCCGGUUCUACCCCAACGAAACCCACAUCGAAACUUCCGUUCUACAUGCAGUACCCACCGGCAAGCUCGAAGUGUUAACCAUUGAGGGCAAAGUAACUGCACAUGCUAUGUUUAUCGGUACGGACCCCACUUAAAUCCUUACCGACACACUACCAGUGCCGAGUACGACAAGAACCACUCUUCGAGAAGACGUAGCUCACCUUCUUGGUCUCCAGAGACCGCUAAAAGCUGGGUCGUCUGUUAAGGACCGUCUUCCAGGGUCACGGCGAAUGACCAUCAAGGUCGUGCGCAAAAAGAGAGCCCUGUGUACUACCCUUCGACGACGAGAAGAGUGACCUCCUUCUUGGGCCCAUAGUCUGCGACUACAUACUAGGACGGCGCGGUUUUCCGAGACUUACCACGUGCAGAUUCGAGUCCGGUAGCCCUAAUACGAACACGUGACACUGGUAGUUUCGGACUGCGAGAUCGAGCCCCCAGUGACAUCCUACUAUGGAUUCAAAUGAUGGACGGAGUAGAAGGCGUCAAUUCUAGUCCGAAACAAACCAAAUAGUAGGAUGAACGAUCCCAAAUAUAGACGAACAACGAGGUGGGUUAUUAUCUUACAAGUACGAAGUCAAGUAAGCCAACGAACGACUGUCGCUUGGAACGGUAUUACAUGAGACAAGAGUCAACAUAACUUUAUGAUAAACUAGUAUCUUGGAAGUUAAAUGUAUGAGAAAAUAAUAAUAAAAAAACUGAAACUUUAUCAUCAUCCUCUCCGAGGAUGAUACGAUAUAAUUAAAAAACUAUCUUACUCACACCCUAUACAUAGGAGUGUAACCAAGUCUCUGAACAUUUGUUUUGUCCUCGAUCUCCCUCAAAUCUUUUCUUCACCACUUUAGUGACAGGCACUCUAGUCUCCUAUGAGAUAUAAAAUCGGUUCACUCUAGUCGGAAACAAGAAAGAUUGGUACGAGAUUACCUUCCUAAAUACACCAACUUUUACAUUAAUAAGGAGAGGAAGGUAUACAAGG